CCUUGCCCUAAUAGCCGAGCCCUAGGUGCCGACGCCCCUCCUCACUGCCGCUGUGACGCCAAGCGCCACUGCACAGAGCCGACGCCUUCUUCCCUUCACCGACGUGGAUCCAGCCGAGCUUUAGUGCCGGCUGCCACCACUGUGCCUUGCCGCCGCGACUCCUCCUCUUGUGGGCUCGCGACACAGCCGACUCCCUGCUGCUGGUGCCCUAGCUCCGAACCAAGUCUUCUUCUCCUCUUCCGAGCGCCGGCAGCCGACAAGAUCCUUUGCCCUAGUGCCCUCUGCCAUUGAUCAAGUCCCCGUAGGUUGUGUUGUUUUGGUGGAUCCGGAAAUUGGGGUGCUGUGGGCUGCUCUUUGGUCCAGCAGCCACUACUUUUGGCAGUAGAUCAGUGACCCCGACUGGGAUAUUGAGGACUUUGACGCGAGACGAGUAUCUCGAGUCGAUUUGGACCAGUUUGG